rnacentral:rRNA from 1 species
AUUGAACGCUGGCGGCAUGCCUUACACAUGCAAGUCGAGCGGCAGCGCGGGGGCAACCCUGGCGGCGAGCGGCGAACGGGUGAGUAAUACAUCGGAACGUGUCCAGUAGCGGGGGAUAACCUGUCGAAAGAUAGGCUAAUACCGCGUACGACCUACGGGUGAAAGCGGGGGACCGCAAGGCCUCGUACUAUUGGAGCGGCCGAUGUCGGAUUAGCUAGUUGGCGGGGUAACGGCCCACCAAGGCGACGAUCCGUAGCUGGUCUGAGAGGACGACCAGCCACACUGGAACUGAGACACGGUCCAGACUCCUACGGGAGGCAGCAGUGGGGAAUUUUGGACAAUGGGCGCAAGCCUGAUCCAGCCAUGCCGCGUGAGUGAAGAAGGCCU